rnacentral:rRNA from 1 species
AGUGAACGCUGGCGGUAGGCCUAACACAUGCAAGUCGAACGGCAGCACAGUAAGAGCUUGCUCUUACGGGUGGCGAGUGGCGGACGGGUGAGGAAAAUAUCGGAAUCUACUUUUUCGUGGGGGAUAACGUAGGGAAACUUACGCUAAUACCGCAUACGCCCUACGAGUGAAAGCAGGGGAUAUUCGGACCUUGCGCGAUUGAAUGAGCCGAUGUUGGAUUAGCUAGUUGGCGGGGUAAAGGCCCACCAAGGCGACGAUCGGUAGCUGGUCUGAGUGGAUGAUCAGCCACACUGGAACUGGAACACGGUCCAGACUCCUGCGGGAGGCAGCAGUGGGGAAUAUUGGACAAAGGGCGCAAGCCUGAUCCAGCCAUACCGCGUGGGUGAAGAAGGCCUUCGGGUUGUAAAGCCCUUUUGUUGGGAAAGAAAAGCAGCAGGUUAAUACCCCGCUGUUCUGACGGUACCCAAAGAAUAAGCACCGGCUAACUUCGUG